CCUACGGGAGGCUGCAGUGGGGAAUAUUGGACAAUGGGGGGAACCCUGAUCCAGCCAUGCCGCGUGUGUGAAGAAGGCCCUCGGGUUGUAAAGCACUUUCAGUGAGGAAGAACGCCUGGUGGUUAAUACCCAUCAGGAAAGACAUCACUCACAGAAGAAGCACCGGCUAACUCCGUGCCAGCAGCCGCGGUAAUACGGAGGGUGCGAGCGUUAAUCGGAAUUACUGGGCGUAAAGCGCGCGUAGGUGGCUUGAUAAGCCGGUUGUGAAAGCCCCGGGCUCAACCUGGGAACGGCAUCCGGAACUGUCAAGCUAGAGUGCAGGAGAGGAAGGUAGAAUUCCCGGUGUAGCGGUGAAAUGCGUAGAGAUCGGGAGGAAUACCAGUGGCGAAGGCGCCCUUCUGGACUGACACUGACACUGAGGUGCGAAAGCGUGGGUAGCAAACAGGAUUAGAUACCCGGGUAGUC
rnacentral:rRNA from 1 species